AACGAACGCUGGCGGCAGGCUUAACACAUGCAAGUCGAACGGUUGUAGCAAUACAGCAGUGGCAGACGGGUGAGUAACACGUGGGAACCUUCCUAGGGGUACGGAACAACUCAGGGAAACUUGAGCUAAUACCGUAUACGUCCGUGAGGAGAAAGAUUUAUCGCCCUUAGACGGGCCCGCGUCGGAUUAGCUAGUUGGUGGGGUAAUGGCCUACCAAGGCGACGAUCCGUAGCUGAUCUUAGAGGAUGAUCAGCCACACUGGGACUGAGACACGGCCCAGACUCCUACGGGAGGCAGCAGUGGGGAAUCUUGGACAAUGGGCGCAAGCCUGAUCCAGCCAUGCCGCGUGAGUGAAGAAGGUCUUCGGAUUGUAAAGCUCUUUUGCCAGGGACGAUAAUGACGGUACCUGGAGAAUAAGCCCCGGCAAACUUCGUGCCAGCAGCCGCCGUAAGAC
rnacentral:rRNA from 1 species